AGUGAACGCUGGCGGUAGGCCUAACACAUGCAAGUCGAACGGCAGCACAGUAAGAGCUUGCUCUUACGGGUGGCGAGUGGCGGACGGGUGAGGAAUACAUCGGAAUCUACUUUUUCGUGGGGGAUAACGUAGGGAAACUUACGCUAAUACCGCAUACGACCUACGGGUGAAAGCAGGGGAUCUUCGGACCUUUCGCGAUUGAAUGAGCCGAUGUCGGAUUAGCUAGUUGGCGGGGUAAAGGCCCACCAAGGCGACGAUGCGUAGCUGGUCUGAGAGGAUGAUCAGCCACACUGGAACUGAGACACGGUCCAGACUCCUACGGGAGGCAGCAGUGGGGAAUAUUGGACAAUGGGCGCAAGCCUGAUCCAGCCAUACCGCGUGGGUGAAGAAGGCCUUCGGGUUGUAAAGCCCUUUUGCUGGGAAAGAAAAGCAGCAGGUUAAAACCCCGCUGUUCUGACGGUACCCAAAGAAUAAGCAACGGCUAACUUCGUG
rnacentral:rRNA from 1 species